UGAGUCACCUGGAAUGUAACCUACCUGCAGGAGCAGGAGGGAGCACUGGGUCUCUUCAGUUCCCAAGGUGCAAAAAGUUACAGCAGGUGAAAAUGAGGCAAGGAUAAGAGUGGCAGCCAUGUGGUACUGGUGCUGCUGCCUGCUUUUGAGGCUCUGAGAGAGGCUGUGUAGUAUGUGGAGAAACUACUAAAUAUAGUCAUAGUUACAGGUACCUGUAGUGAAAUCUGCUAAUCAGAUGUAAUUAAUCAAAUCUGCUGUGGUUUUUAGUGGCCUUUUCUGUCUGUUGUCAGGAAGGUAAGUAGGAUUGCAUCUAGAUUAUUGAUGAGAUGUCUGAAUUUUGGCCACUUCUUCAGGUGGUAGCCCUGUUUUCUCCCUGUCACUUUACUCCAUGGAAAUAUAGACGUUGCUGAAGAAACUUGCUACUCAAGACAUCUUUCUGCUCCCAAUUAAGUCAAAGGGAAAACUUUCUCUGACUUUCAAGGGAGCAGGGUCUGGCCUUGCAGUGGAAUUCAAACAUAAAACAUUGUGCUUCCCUGACAGCUGUGUGCCUUCUGUGAGGGGAGGCCAAAACUCAGCAACAAAUACAGCUUGCUUUAGCUGCUUCAAAGUGAGAUAGCUGUGAGGGGAAAAUGUUUAUAAAUGCCAGUGCUGGCAAGGAGAGUGGGGAGACAUUGGUCUGUUGUUUUGAAGGAUGCACAGCUACUGUUUGCUGAGGAAUUCUGCUUUUUGUUCUUCGGCUUUGUGUUGAGGAAUUCUGCUUUUUGUUCUUGAGCUUCUGAUGUGUAUGCUAUAGGAAAAUGUAUGUAUCCAUAAGACUGGCCACAAAAUUGCUUUAUUUUUGACCCAGAGAAGUUGCAGAUCUUCUUUGUUGAAUGUUCUUAAUAAUUUUUUGGCACAUGGCUACUGUGUCAUAGGCCCUUUUUGUCUAAGAUUAAUGGAAACUCAGCUGAUUUUGUUUAUAGGAGACUUCAGAUAUCUCUACUGGAUUUUAUAGUGGAUAUGGUCACCAAACUGGUUUAAAGAUUGUUUUUUUACAUUAAGUUUUAUUUUUCAGGUUUUUUGAACACCUGAAGUGAUCAGUCCAGAUGUAUUUUCUUAUGAGCUAUCUGCGACUACAGAUUAUGGGGAAGUACCCAACUUGAGAUAUCUAUCAUGGAACACGUGUGUGUUCCCUCUUGUGUCCCACAUGAAAAAAAGAAAUCUUCUCAACACCUGUUUCCAAAACCUCUUUCCCAUGGAUAUUACUCCAUGACAAGGUUACACUGACCUAUCAUUUCAUGCAUCAGCAGUUCUUCUAUUGCACUGAUUUGAUCGAGCCUAGUGGAUAAAAGAGGAACAAUCCACCCAAUGGACCAAAUUAGAAUUAUAAUAAAAACUGCACCUUCUGAAGGACAAAGUAGGUUAAGUAUGGUACUUACUGCCCUUGGCAUAAUUUUUGUGAUGUGUCAAAUUUGAACCUUUUUUUUCACGUUUGUUCAACCUUUUACAUUCAGAUUUUGAAUUUUGAUUUUAUGUAGUUAUGUAAGUGAUGCUGCAGCUGCAGUUGAGGAAGAAGGUAGGGUUUUGUAGCUACUGGAAGCUUUUUUAGGUUAAGUACCUGUGAAAGUGCAAUAAAUCUUUUUGAUUUUGAA